rnacentral:rRNA from 1 species
GGUGAACGCUGGCGGCGUGCCUAAUACUUGCAAGUCGAGCGAACAGACGAGGAGCUUGCUCCUCUGACGUUAGCGGCGGACGGGUGAGUAACACGUGGAUAACCUACCUAUAAGACUGGGAUAACUUCGGGAAACCGGAGCUAAUACCGGAUAAUAUAUUGAACCGCAUGGUUCAAUAGUGAAAGACGGUUUUGCUGUCACUUAUAGAUGGAUCCGCGCCGCAUUAGCUAGUUGGUAAGGUAACGGCUUACCAAGGCAACGAUGCGUAGCCGACCUGAGAGGGUGAUCGGCCACACUGGAACUGAGACACGGUCCAGACUCCUACGGGAGGCAGCAGUAGGGAAUCUUCCGCAAUGGGCGAAAGCUUGACGGAGCAACGCCGCGUGAGUGAUGAAGGUCUUCGGAUCGUAAAACUCUGUUAUUAGGGAAGAACAAAUGUGUAAGUAACUAUGCACGUCUUGACGGUACCUAAUCAGAAAGCCACGGCUAACUACGUG